AUUGAACGCUGGCGGAAUGCUUUACACAUGCAAGUCGAACGAUGAGACUUAGCUUGCUAGGUUGAUUAGUGGCGAACGGGUGAGUAAUGUAUCGGAACGUAUCCAAUAAUGGGGGAUAACUAACCGAAAGGUUAGCUAAUACCGCAUACGCCCUACGGGGGAAAGCAGGGGAUCUUCGGACCUUGCGUUAAUGGAUCGGCCGAUAUCUGAUUAGCUAGUUGGUGAGGUAAAGGCUCACCAAGGCGACGAUCAGUAGCUGGUCUGAGAGGACGACCAGCCACACUGGAACUGAGACACGGUCCAGACUCCUACGGGAGGCAGCAGUGGGGAAUUUUGGACAAUGGGCGAAAGCCUGAUCCAGCCAUUCCGCGUGAGUGAAGAAGGCCUUCGGGUUGUAAAGCUCUUUCGCAAGGGAAGAAAACUUACUUUCUAAUAAAGAGUGAGGUUGACGGUACCUUGAUAAGAAGCACCGGCUAACUACGUGCCAGCCGCCGCGGUAA
rnacentral:rRNA from 1 species